UCCUUGAUCUGGGCAUCCUCUGCAGGGCGAUAGGCUCAUUCCGCCCAGCGGGCUGUCCGAUGGCCUGGGUACCCUGCUCGGCCUACUUAGUCAAUGCUAUCCGUGAUUGGAUGGAUGCAACCAACACUCGCUCCAUUGAGGAUCGCCUGACAGAUGAGUUCUCAACCAUGAUGCCCCAUUUGAUGUUUUUAUAUUUUACUUGCGCCACCCAGAGACCAAGUGUUGGCUACUGUAUCACCACCACCUCGGAUUUCAGUCGUGAAAAGUUUUCCUCAGAAAAUUAUGUAGAAGUACUACUUUUCAUAGUUAUCUUAUUUCGUUCUCCUUUUUCACUAAGUUACUUUUAGUAAAAAUAGUUGCGUGGAGCCAGUUAUAGUUAGAAGCAGUUAAUAUGUAUAUAGUGUGGUCGUGUAACUCAGAUAAUUAAUAUCAAGCACAGACGUAAAACAAAUAACUUGAAUAUAGCAGUACCAUUAUUACAAAAAAUGUCACAUGGAUCGUGCAUAUUACACAAGGUUAAAAAGCUGACUGGACAAUAGACUUUUUUAUUUUGUAGAGAUAUAAUUCAGACUAAUAGGACACACGAAGUCAGGUUCGGACCACCAGAGCAAUCCUAGAGGCUUUACAGCCUCCUGAGCCGAAGGUUCGUGUAGUACUGUAUGGUCAACCAUUGUCGCGCCAUGACAUGGGUCAGUAUAGAUACACGAGUUGGGCCAAGUGUUAGACGAUAAGCUGCUAGCUCAGCAGCUACUGGCUCAAAGACAAUAUGGUUCUCGUCAGUGGAUGUUAAAACUCCUACAACAUUUAGAAAACAACAAGAGUUAGAAUACUCAUGUAUGUUAAGCAGUUUAGUAAAGUCAACACUACAUUCUAAUACUCGUUGUGUCAUCUAGCAGGUGUAAACUGCAACUUACUAUAAUUUGAUGAUAUAGCGCAAUAUCGUAGACUCCAAUUAGUGAACAGAAAAAUGUGUGUCACUUCUUGUGUGCAUUGCUGUUGUACUCUAAAGAUGCCUCUCAAUGCUUUCCUCUCAUUAUCGAUGAGAAGCUUUGACUUCAGCUUGGUGAGUAGCCCACACACAGAAGUGGGUUGAACCUAUCUCUGGGAGUUUAGAAAGCGUGUUAGAUUUUUAGUUGCAUUAUGUGCUUCCCAUGGCCAAGCAUCUGCUGUGGUGUCUGCAUUCUAAGAUCAUAUUUCAUACCUAUUGGUGUCUGCCACACUGAAUUUUGUAGGUCUUCCUGUUGCUUACCAAGAAAUUUUGAAGAGCAAGUCGAUUUAGUGUGGAAAUUAUGUAAACAUGCUGGCAGUGUUCCUUCCAUGGCUUUCAACUUCCGCUCAUCCCAUGAACAUGAAGAUAUUCGUAACUGCUUAUGUAAAAUAGUACCGUUAGAGAAACUUUCUUCACCAGGUUGUAUACUUGUAUUUACUUGGAUCAAAGGGAAAGCAACCAGAGAAGUGGUGCAGAGUAUCUUCAGUGAUAAUUUGGGUAGAAGUCAUAGUUGCAAAGAUGCCUCCGUUGUUGAUCAAGCUGAUGGUCAGGCUGAUAAGUCAAGAAACUGCAUCCCUGACCAUCUGUAUUGGAUCAGAAUGAACACUUACUGACAUUUAUCAUUGGUUUUUCGGUUUCUGCCACUCUAGGAGUUCAUGUGUAUGUUGAGGUCCUCUUCAGGUGGAUGAGUGCAAUUGAGGUCCAAAAUUGAUAGUGUUAUUCUUGUUGAUGCUAUUUUAUUAGUGAUGCAGAUUUUAUUACUGACCAAUGGUUGUCUUCGAUACAGCCUGGAGGGAGAUGCGGGAGAUGCAACAGUUAUAUAAGAUGAAAAUAAAGUUUGAAGCAAUUCCAUGAAAGAUCAAGGAGUGUAUAAGCGGGCUGUCGCAGCAGCAGUAAGGAGACGCCGUAGCAACAUCACAUAAUAGUGCUCACAGGAGCACUAUAGCUGCCCCAUUAUAUUAGAGGAGAAAGAAAUACACUACUCCCUCCGAUUCAAUGAUGGGGAAUUCUCCCUGAUGACAACCAAUUUCAGAAGGGCAUACAACUUAGAGGUGUGAUUCCUAGAGGUCUCUCGCCCAGCCAUGCUUGAGGGUACCCUUUAUAUGCACGCACCAGAAAUCUGAUGGGCUUCUCUGAUUUGGAGGUGUUAAAUUGUAGAGAUCUGGGGAAAGUACCGAUCUAGUUGCUGCGAAAUGAUGUAGUUUCCUUUCUUCUGUGCUGAUGCGAAAUCCCUAAAAAUCCCUGAAAUGAUGGAGUUUCCUUUCAUAUGUAUGGUAAUGCGUUGAUUCUGUUACCUUCAAAAGGUUUAGUUUCCUUUUUCCUCCCUGAAAUCCCUGAAAUGAUGGAGUUUCCUUU